rnacentral:tRNA from 1 species
GGUCCGGGCGGCGCGGCGAUAGUCGCGCAGGAUUUUGUACGUCUUGAGUCGGGCCAGGGCAUGUUCCACCCGGGCCCGGACCA